GGUCAAGCUACAAAGGGCUGACGGUGGAUACCUAGGCACACAGAGGCGAUGAAGGACGUGGCGACCGACGAAAAACUCCGGGGAGCUGGCAGCAAGCAUUGAGCCGGAGAUAUCCGAAUGGGGCAACCCUUAAGGCACAUAGUUGAAUAAAUAGAUUAUGUGCAGCCAACCCAGCGAAUUGAAACAUCUUAGUAGCUGGAGGAAGAGAAAGCAAAAGCGAUUUCCCUAGUAGUGGUGAGCGAACGGGAAACAGCCUAAACCAGAUGUUUUUACAUCUGGGGUUGUGGGACAGUGACAACAGACUAGAAAGGUUAGACGAAGUAGUUGAAAGCUACACCAGAGAGGGUGAAAGUCCCGUAGUCGAAAAUUAGACUAGCUGAACUGUAUCCCGAGUAGCACGGGGCCCGUGAAAUCCCGUGUGAAUCAGCGAGGACCAUCUCGUAAGGCUAAAUACUACUGUGUGACCGAUAGUGAACCAGUACCGCGAGGGAAAGGUGAAAAGAACCCCGAAAGGGGAGUGAAAUAGAACCUGAAACCGUCAGCUUACAAGCAAUGGGAGCUCGAUUGAACGAGUGACCGUGUGCCUGUUGAAGCAUGAGCCGGCGAGUUAUAGGCAGUGGCAGGUUAAGGCGUUAAUAGCCGCAGCCAAAGCGAAAGCGAGUUUGAAAUAUAGCGUUUCGUCACUGUUUAUAGACCCGAACCCGGGUGAUCUAACCAUGUCCAGGAUGAAGCUUGGGUAACACCAAGUGGAGGUCCGAACCGACUGAUGUUGAAAAAUCAGCGGAUGAGGUGUGGUUAGGGGUGAAAUGCCAAUCGAACCCGGAGCUAGCUGGUUCUCCCCGAAAUGUGUUGAGGCACAGCGGUCGAGAUGAAGUUUGGGGGUAAAGCACUGUUUCGGUGCGGGCUGCGAGAGCGGUACCAAAUCGAGACAAACUCUGAAUACCAAACCCGUACUCGGCCAGUCAGACGGUGGGGGAUAAGCUCCAUCGUCGAGAGGGAAACAGCCCAGACCACCAGCUAAGGUCCCUAAAUGACUGCUAAGUGAUAAAGGAGGUGAGAGUGCAUUGACAACCAGGAGGUUUGCCUAGAAGCAGCCACCCUUGAAAGAGUGCGUAAUAGCUCACUGGUCAAGCGCUCUUGCGCCGAAAAUGAACGGGGCUAAGCAGUCUACCGAAGCUGUGGAAUAUGAAUAAUAUUGGUAGGGGAGCGUUCCGCGAUGGUGUGAAGCACUAGCGACAAGCAGGUGUGGACUGUGCGGAAGUGAGAAUGUCGGCUUGAGUAGCGCAAAUGUAGGUGAGAAUCCUACACCCCGAAACCCUAAGGGUUCCAGAGCCAGGCUCGUCCGCUCUGGGUGAGUCAGGUCCUAAGGCGAGGCCAAACGGCGUAGUCGAUGGAUAACGGGUGAAUAUUCCCGUACCGAUAAUUGUUGGUGCAGAGGGACGGAGAAGGCAAUCGCCAGCCGGAUGUUGGUUACCGGUUUAAGUAUUCGAGGUGUUGAGAGACGGUGAAAACGUUUCGAGCUGAGGUACGAGUACGACUCCCUACGGGGAGGAAGUGGUAGAUGUCAGGCUUCCAAGAAAAGCUCUAAACACCAUAAACAGUUGUUGCCUGUACCCGAAACCGACACAGGUAGGGAGGUUGAGUAAACCAAGGGGCGCGAGAUAACUCUCUCUAAGGAACUCGGCAAAAUUGCCCCGUAACUUCGGAAGAAGGGGUGCCACCGCAAGGUGGUCGCAGUGAAGAGUCCCAGGCGACUGUUUACCAAAAACACAGGUCUCCGCUAAGUCGUAAGACGACGUAUGGGGGCUGACGCCUGCCCAGUGCUGGAAGGUUAAGGAAGUCGGUCAGGAGUAAUCUGAAGCUGGCGACUGAAGCCCCAGUGAACGGCGGCCGUAACUAUAACGGUCCUAAGGUAGCGAAAUUCCUUGUCGGGUAAGUUCCGACCCGCACGAAAGGCGUAACGAUCUGGGAGCUGUCUCGGAGAGAGACUCGGCGAAAUAGAAUUGUCUGUGAAGAUACGGACUACCUGCACCUGGACAGAAAGACCCUAUGAAGCUUUACUAUAGCCUGGAAUUGUGUUCGGGCUUCGCUUACGCAGGAUAGGUGGGAGGCGUGGAAGUUCUGCUUGUGGGCAGGAUGGAGCCAACGGUGAGAUACCACUUUAGCGAGGCUAGAAUUCUAACCUUGACCCGUUAACCGGGUGAGAGACAGUUUCAGGGGGGUAGUUUGACUGGGGCGGUCGCCUCCUAAAAGGUAACGGAGGCGCACAAUGGUUCCCUCGGGCUGGUUGGAAAUCAGCCUUCGAGUGCAAAGGCAUAAGGGAGCUUGACUGUAAGACUUACAAGUCGAGCAGGGUGGAAACACGGUCUUAGUGAUCCGACGGUUCCGUAUGGAAGGGCCGUCGCUCAACGGAUAAAAGUUACUCUAGGGAUAACAGGCUGAUCUCCCCCAAGAGUCCACAUCGACGGGGAGGUUUGGCACCUCGAUGUCGGCUCAUCGCAACCUGGGGCGGAAGUACGUCCCAAGGGUUCGGCUGUUCGCCGAUUAAAGCGGUACGUGAGCUGGGUUCAGAACGUCGUGAGACAGUUCGGUCCAUAUCCGGUGCAGGCGUAAGAAGAUUGAGAGGAUUCCUCCCUAGUACGAGAGGACCGGGAGGGACGCACCGCUGGUGUGCCUGUUAUCGUGCCAACGGUAGACGCAGGGUAGCCAUGUGCGGAGUGGAUAACCGCUGAAAGCAUCUAAGUGGGAAGCCCACCUCAAGAUGAGUCUUCUCACUACUUAAGUAGGUAAGGUCACGGGCAGAACACCCGUUGAUAGGCGUUAAGUGGAAGUUCUGUGAGGGAUGAAGCUGAGGCGUACUAAUAGACCGAGGGCUUGACCUC
rnacentral:rRNA from 1 species